UCUCUCUCUCUCACACUCUCUCUCUGUGUGUGAAUGCCAAAGGCCUCUCAACCCUCAGUCCAGAUUUAGACCUCAGCUUUUCCCAGACAUUCAGACCCAGCUGGCUGGAGUUGCUGGCCGGUAGUGUACAGAUUCCUUUGUCUCCCUUGUUCUUCCUCUCCUCCUCUGCUCUUUUUCGCCAUCCCUGGACUCUUUCAUUACUUUUUUUAUCUGAUCUGGUAGGAGUGCCUGCCAGAUGUCUGAGUUGGACAGUGGGUCGAGGGUUGUAGUCCAGGGCCUCGCCAGUCGUUCUGGUUCCACAGAGGCAGACUUCCUGCUCCUCUUGCCCAACCAUGGAGCCUCUUGCAGAGGUGGCUGUAUAUACGCAACAGAUGCGUUUGCGCCCUCUGCAAACCCAGACCCUGAGACGUUUAUAUACAUGAACUUCAUGAAGAGUCACUGCUGCUACGAUGCCAUCCCCACCAGCUCCAAACUGGUCAUUUUUGACACAACUCUACAGGUGAAGAAGGCUUUCUUCGCUCUCGUGGCUAACGGUGUGAGGGCAGCGCCACUGUGGGACAGCAAGCGGAAGUGUUUUGUGGGUAUGCUGACCAUCACUGACUUCAUAAACAUUCUCCAUCGUUAUUACAAGUCUCCUCUGGUUCAGAUCUAUGAGCUGGAAGAGCAGAAGAUAGAGACAUGGAGAGAGAUCUAUCUGCAGUAUUCUGUCAACAGACUGAUCAGCAUCACUCCUGACUGCAGUCUGUUUGAUGCCAUCUACUCCUUGUUGAAGAAUAAGAUUCACCGGCUGCCGAUCAUCGACCCAACAUCAGGAAAUGUCCUCCAUAUCCUCACACACAAACGCAUCCUCAAGUUCCUCCACAUCUUUGGAUCUAUGAUUCCUAAACCCAGAUUUCUUCAGAAGCGGAUCAAUGAACUGGCAAUCGGUACCUUCAAACAGAUUGCGACAGUCCAGGAAACGGCCUCUGUCUAUGACGCUCUGUCCAUUUUUGUUGAGAGAAGAGUGUCUGCGCUGCCUGUAGUCAAUGAGCAAGGUAAAGUCGUGGCGCUGUACUCCAGGUUUGAUGUCAUUAAUCUCGCAGCCCAGAAAAACUACAACAACCUGAACAUGACAAUGCAGGAGGCCAUUUCCUCCAGGGCCUGCUUUAUGGAAGGAGUCCUCAAGUGUUACCCUUAUGAAACACUUGAGACCAUCAUCGACCGCAUCGCCAAGGCUGAGGUGCAUCGUUUGGUGUUGGUUGACAGUGAUGACGCGGUGAGAGGGAUUGUCUCUCUAUCUGACCUUCUCCAAGCCCUGGUUCUCACUCCUGCAGGUAUUGAUGCACUGUACUCCUAACGCCAAUCCUUCAAUUCAUCCCUUCUUUUCCUCAAUCCUCGGUUAUCUGUCCAUCUACCUUCAAUUCCUCGAAGCUUCCUGCUCCUUCUGUUGAUCUGUGCUCCUUUUCCUGUAAAAAACUCUUCUUCAUCUUCAACUUUUCGUCCUGCUAAAGACAUUAAGGUUCUUUCUUCUCUUCCUGUGAAAUUUUGUGAUGUCAGAGUUCCAUCUCUGUCAAUUGCCUCCUUCCCUGAAAUCUCCUGAUCCUUUCAAGCAUACUUACCAUGACCGUCUCCUUCUGCUCCUUCAAAAUUCUCAUCUUCAUUGGGGACAAACAUCCUUACAUUUCUUCUAAAACUCAUUUGAAGCAUUAAACUAAAUGUUUCCAGAGUUUGCUCUGAUACAUCCUGCACCUGGAAAAUAAACAAAAGCCCCCUCAAAACCCCCUGCCCAUCCACAAUCAACGAAUGCUUAAUCUUCCAAUCCAACUUUAAAACCAGUUCAGUUACCGCCACCAAAAUCCUGCAAUCCUACCUACCAACCAACCAAGUUUCCUUAUCGUCUACGUUCUACAAAGUCUGACACUCCCCUCCCCCCCCCCAAAGUCUUCAUGCUGCAGUUCCUCCUCUGAAACCACCACGCCAACAGCACCUCUUAGGCAACACAUCCCAGAUAUUUACGAGGGAUCGAGCUGUCAAGACUGAAGAAAACAAGAUGAAGACUGACCACAUUAAACAAGACUGAGGUGGCAAAAUAAAUUUGCAAAGCAGGGCUGUGGCUGAGAGGUCACUGGUUUCAAUCCCAGUCCGGAGGACAAAUAUGGAAAGAGAAAGUGAAAAUCAAUCUUCUCUAUGAGCACCAAUAAUGUGCCGGUGUGUCGGUCACCAAUAGAAGACGUGUGGUUGUGCUGGGAAGUUACCAGUGUUGAACCUUAUCACAGGUGUGACUGGAAAGCAGCAUUGAACUGAUGAUGCACACAUCAAGAGACUUUUAAUCUUGACUUAUUAAGCAUCAAAUUUGAGUUUAUUUUGCAAGUUCUGUUAACUUGGAAAUUGAGUUGUUAAUACGACAUGUAAAAAAAAAAAAAGGGGUUAUGUUUAAUGGAUUUGACUUUAUGGUCUUCGAAUGAUUUCAAAUUAAUCAUUCAUAUAUUGGAAAUAUUGGAUCUUUGGAAUUAGUUUUUGUUUUUUUAGCCCAAGGAAAAUAUGCAAAACAAGACAGGGAAAAAGUAUACAAUGGUAAUGGUAGAAAUGAUGCUACAACACGAACAUCAAACACAAUCAAUAAAAGAAUUGACCAUUAAACUGAUAAUCAAGAGAAAU